CAGGUGUAUAGGUACUAGGAUUGGGGGAUGUAGGGCAAUUCUGACACGUGUGGCCACUCUAGUGAUAGGUUCUGUGAUGGAGCCCCCAGCUGUGACAGUGAGGCCAAUGCUAAGUCGGGAAAACGGAGAGCUCCCCUGAAGAGCAGCCAGACCCUGACCCAGGGGCGAGGAGAAACAGGACACACAAAGGACGGGUUCACCUGAGGACACAAUUGUGUCUUUGGAAGUUUGUGGUGCCGUCCUUAUAAAAAGUUUAUUUUCAAGACAUGUUUCAGUUCGCCCCCUAAAUGCCGUACAUUUCCUUGGAGGAAGCACAGAUGUGCGACACUUUCAGCACGGUGGAGAAGUUCUGGGUGUUACUUUUUCCAACUAAUGAACGGAAAAGCCAUGUUUCCUACCGACCACCGCUUCUUUAACUGUACAACAAAUAGAAGAAAGAGAUGACAAAAGCAAGCGAGAGCACUGUUAAGGAAAGCAGCCAUUGCUGGAACCAGAUACAACGCUGAACUUGGUCUUCAAGCUUCCUAUUGCUUUCUAGUAAACGAUUGAGCUAAAGAGGGGAAAAAAGGAUGAAAGUUUGGCAACCUACCAUGGGAGCUGCUGAGAUACCAUACUCACUUGGGAGCCUGCAGAUGGGAUUCUGGAAAACUGGCAGAAGCCCGAGAAGAGUAAGAAUUCUUACCAAAGGCAGCUCUCCUGGAUCUCAGUCUGGUGCAGUUGAGAGAGGAAGGACACAAUUGGAAACAUGGUUGUAUUAUCAAGGUUUUGACUUGAAUGUCAUAUUUGAAAAUGAAAUGCAUAAAGUCGGAUAUGACCAGAUGGCUUUAAGGAACUAAAGACCCUUGGAAACAACUGACCUGGUACCUUGCUUACAGGGUUCCAGACGGCCUUACUAGUAGAAUUCACCUGAUCUUACGAUGUGAAGGAAACCACCCUUUCUAGAUGGGAGGCAGUGCUUUCACCUGGGCCUUCAGUACCAAACCACCAAGUCUCCCUGUUUCUGUGAGGAACUUCUUUCCAGAACUGAGUCAAUUCUGCUGGGCCCGUGCCAGAUGACUGUUCCAUUUCUGCAGCCAUGAUCAGAAAACGGUCUUGGGCAGAGACUGUUAAACCUGCAUUCCCAAAAGGUGAGAAAACAGAUGCCCAGAGUGUGGCGAGGUGACUUGCUGAUACCCUGCUAAUUUCUAGAUUCCAGUCCAGCUUUGCUGAGUCAUCACCCAGCCCCAGGCCCCCCAUAACACCCCACUGUGGCCAGCCAGGUGACAACUCACCCCCGUGGGGAGACACAACUAUAUCAACUGAUGCACCCGGGUCACAACUGCUGUUGCUUGGCUUGACUCUGUACUUUUCUGGAGCAGUUGUUCUCACCUGUUUAUAAAAAACAGUAGUCACAUGACCUUUAUACUC